AUUGAACGCUGGCGGCAGGCUUAACACAUGCAAGUCGAGCGGAGAUGAGGUGCUUGCACCUUAUCUUAGCGGCGGACGGGUGAGUAAUGCUUAGGAAUCUGCCUAUUAGUGGGGGACAACAUUCCGAAAGGAAUGCUAAUACCGCAUACGUCCUACGGGAGAAAGCAGGGGAUCUUCGGACCUUGCGCUAAUAGAUGAGCCUAAGUCGGAUUAGCUAGUUGGUGGGGUAAAGGCCUACCAAGGCGACGAUCUGUAGCGGGUCUGAGAGGAUGAUCCGGCACAAUGGGACUGAGACACGGCCCAGACUCCUACGGGAGGCAGCAGUGGGGAAUAUUGGACAAUGGGGGAAACCCUGAUCCAGCCAUGCCGCGUGUGUGAAGAAGGCCUUAUGGUUGUAAAGCACUUUAAGCGAGGAGGAGGCUACUGAGACUAAUACUCUUGGAUAGUGGACGUUACUCGCAGAAUAAGCACCGGCUAACUCUGUGCCAGCCGCCGCGGUAA
rnacentral:rRNA from 1 species